rnacentral:rRNA from 1 species
AUUGAACGCUGGCGGCAGGCCUAACACAUGCAAGUCGAGCGAGCGGCGGACGGGUGAGUAAUGUAUGGGGAACUGCCCGAUAGAGGGGGAUAACUACUGGAAACGGUAGCUAAUACCGCAUACUAUCGGAUGAACCCAGAUGGGAUUAGCUAGUAGGUGGGGUAACGGCUCACCUAGGCGACGAUCCCUAGCUGGUCUGAGAGGAUGACCCGCCACACUGGAACUGAGACACGGUCCAGACUCCUACGGGAGGCAGCAGUGGGGAAUAUUGCACAAUGGGCGCAAGCCUGAUGCAGCCAUGCCGCGUGUAUGAAGAAGGCCUUCGGGUUGUAAAGUACUUUCAGCGGGGAGGCGUUACCCGCAGAAGAAGCACCGGCUAACUCCGUGCCAGCCGCCGCGGUAAUAC